UUUUUUUUUUUUUUUUUUUUUUUUUUUUUUUUUUUGUGUGUGAGCUGAAAUGGAGGGUAAGAAUAUCUUGGAUUUCGAUGUAUGGAAGAAGUCAAAGAA
rnacentral:ribozyme from 1 species